ensembl:ncRNA F41E7.20 ncRNA
UUUACUUCAAAGCCAGUACAACAUUGAAAACGACCCAAUUUAUUUUCUUGCUAUGUGGUAUUUUGAUUAAUUUAGUCAUUGCUCAAUGGGGACGCCCAGUUGCGGUAUCGAGAACAGUUGUGAGACCCGGAUGGAACCCUAUUGGGCCAGUUGGUGGUGUAGGAUGGGGACCACGACCGGUUAUUGUGAGAAAUACUUGGGUUCGCGGAAAAAGAUCAAACAUGAAUGUUAAUUGA